rnacentral:rRNA from 1 species
AUGGCCCCUGCAGCACAAUCUUCGGGUGGAAACAAGGGCAAGGUUCGGCUGUCGAAAGCCGAGAUCAGGAGCAUAGUUGCCCUGAAGCCGGAGAAACUGCCCAGCGCCGAUUACCUGGACGAUCUGGCAGAGUAUUUUCCUCCGGAGUGGAUCGAGGAAAGGAAGCGCGCCCUCGCCGACAAUGCAGAGCUUUUCAAGAAGAUGGAUGACGAUUUCGAAGAGUACCGGCAGCAGGUCAUCACGUCUGUGCGGGACAAGGGCUACUUCGAGGUCGAUGAAGACUUCAUCGCCAACAGGAACAGAGCCAAUGAGUUGGGCCUUGAAAUACAGAGGAGGAUUCUCUCGCCUAUCCCCGCCAAGUAUUGUGCUACCCCGGAGGAUAGGAUUAGGGAUGCAGACGGUUAUAUUCCAUACGUUCCUGACCAAGAUGAUGCUUUUGUUGAAGAUCUUGUGAUUGAUGGUCAAGUUGUGGUUCUCAAAGAUUAG